UGGUGUUCUGUUACACAGUAGAGUAAGU
rnacentral:piRNA from 1 species